rnacentral:rRNA from 1 species
CAGCAGCCGCGGUAAUACGUAGGGUGCGAGCGUUAAUCGGAAUUACUGGGCGUAAAGCGGGCGCAGACGGUUACUUAAGCAGGAUGUGAAAUCCCCGGGCUCAACCUGGGAACUGCGUUCUGAACUGGGUGACUAGAGUGUGUCAGAGGGAGGUAGAAUUCCACGUGUAGCAGUGAAAUGCGUAGAGAUGUGGAGGAAUACCGAUGGCGAAGGCAGCCUCCUGGGAUAACACUGACGUUCAUGCCCGAAAGCGUGGGUAGCAAACAGGAUUAGAUACCCCGGUAGUCCCUGUCUCUUAUAC